UUUACAUGUACAAUUCAAUGAUUUUUAGCACAUUUACAUAAUUGUCAACCAUCACCAUAAUCCAGUUUUAGAACAUUUUCAUCACCCCAAUAAGAUUUCCUCAUACCCAU